rnacentral:rRNA from 1 species
GCUUGUCUCAAAGAUUAAGCCAUGCAUGUCUAAGUAUAAGCAACUUUAUACUGUGAAACUGCGAACGGCUCAUUAAAUCAGUUAUUAUUUAUUUGAUGGUCAAUCACUACAUGGAUACCCGUAGUAAUUCUAGAGCUAAUACAUGCGUAAAAGCCCGACCCUCGCGGAAGGGCUGUAUUUAUUAGAUAAAAAAUCAAUAUCGGUGUUAAAGCCGUUUUUUAUUGAUGAUUCAUAGUAACUGUUCGAAGCUCAUGGCCUUGUGCUGGAGCUAGUUCAUUCAAAUUUCUGCCCUAUCAGCUUUCGAUGGUAGUGUAGUGGACUACCAUGGCUUUAACGGGUGACGGAGAAUUAGGGUUCGAUUCCGGAGAGGGAGCCUGAGAAAUGGCUACCACAUCCAAGGAAGGCAGCAGG